AUAUUUGCUAACCGGAAGACGACGUUACUGUCUGUGGCUAUUCAGACCUGGCUAGUAUGUGUGCUAACUCCACAUUGAAGUCAGUGGCUAUCCGCAUGUAAAAUGUCGCUCUCAGUCGUCCAUGUUUGCUGUAAAACGGAACCAGGGUUCAAGUGGAACAAUGCAAAUUUAAGCUGCAACUCAGCACAGAAUACAUUGGAAGAUAUGGGCUGACCUGACUCAUCAUGGAGGAUCGCCCAGCCUGAAACACACCAUGUGGCAGAGAUACCUUGUCUGAAGAUGGGAUUGUUGAUCCUUACGUGGCCAAGAGUAGGUUAACACGGAGAGCAUUUGUCAAAAUAUCUAAGUGCAGUAGUCCAUGGCCAUCACACGUGGCCCAAAGAAACAUGGCUGCUACGACUGACCUCCAUACCGCGAUGGCCUGAGGAUGAGUAACCGGUGGCUGCUUCUAAAGCAGGAACACAAGAACAAUAGUCAACUCCUUCACUCAUGCUCCAGAGGGAAAACUGUGUCCCUGCCCUUGAAUAAUUGUUUAUACUUGAAAGAUGUAUCUCACUCUAGUGUUGUAAUAAACUUUUCACGGUUUAAAAAAAUAAAUAAAAAAAUGGGUCUUGUGUA